rnacentral:rRNA from 1 species
GACGAACGCUGGCGGCGUGCUUAACACAUGCAAGUCGAACGGAGUGUCGAACGGGUGAGUAACACGCGGGUGAUAUGCCUUGCACUGCGGGAUACGCCUGGGAAACUGGGUCUAAUACCGGAUAGCGCAAGAUGAGCUCGCGGCCUAUCCGCUUGUUGGUGGGGUAAUGGCCUACCAAGGCGUGGACGGGUAGCCGGCCUGAGAGGGUGUACGGCCACAGUGGGACUGAGAUACGGGCCAGACUCCUACGGGAGGCAGCGGUGGGGGAUAGUGCACAAUGGGCGGAAGCCGGAUGCAGGGACGCCGCGUUGGGGAUGAAGGCCUUCGGGUUGUAAACUCCUGUCGACAGGGACGCGGUACCUGUAUAAGAAGCACCGGCUAACUACGUGCCAGCAGCCGCGGUAAUAC